GUGAGUCAUCGAAUCUUUGAACGCACCUUGCGCUCCUUGGCAUUCCGAGGAGCAUGCCUGUUUGAGUGUCAUGAAUUCAUCAACCCCGAAGGGAUUUUGGUCCUUCUCGGUGGCUUGGACUUGGGGGACUUUGCUGGCCUUCGGUUGGUCGGCUCCCCUUGAAUGCAUUAGCUUGGACUUGUCCCGGCGACGUCAUAGCGUGAUAACUAUCUACGCUUUGAACCGUCUGUUGGUACCUCGUAGGUCUGGCUUCCAACCGUCUUCGGACAAUACACCAUUCAUUUUGACCUCAAAUCAGGUAGGACUACCCGCUGAACUUAAGCAUAUCAAUAAGGCGAGG
rnacentral:rRNA from 1 species